rnacentral:rRNA from 1 species
UACGUAGGGGGCAAGCGUUACCCGGAUUCACUGGGCGUAAAGCGCGUGUAGGCGGCUGGCCAAGCGUGGUGUGAAAUCUCCGGGCUCAACCCGGAAACUGCACUGCGAACUGGCCUGGCUGGAGUGCAGGAGAGGGAUGCGGAAUUCCAGGUGUAGCGGUGAAAUGCGUAGAUAUCUGGAGGAACACCGGUGGCGAAGGCGGCAUCCUGGACCGGCAUUGACGCUGAGGCGCGAAAGCCAGGGGAGCAAACGGG